UGCGGAUAUGAUGUACUAUGUUCGAAUCCAGGUGAUUAAUCAAGCUAUGUUGAGUAGUGAAGGACGACGAGCAACCAGUAAGAGCGAGGCGUCACAAUAUGGACUUUCUAUGACUGAGCAAGAUUUUCUUCAGCAUUCGAUUCCAUGGAUAGCCGCCAAUGAUGCUGCUUGGCGUGCCUUAUGCCGUUAUUGGGCUUCGGAUAAUUUCAAGGCAAAGUCUA